rnacentral:rRNA from 1 species
UAGUCCACGCCGUAAACGAUGGAUACUAGGUGCUCGAAUGUUUAACCGUUUGAGUACCACAGUUAACACAUUAAGUAUCCCGCCUGGGGAGUACGGUCGCAAGGCUAAAACUCAAAGGAAUUGACGGGGGCCCGCACAAGCGGUGGAGUAUGUGGUUUAAUUCGAAGCAACGCGCAGAACCUUACCUAGGCUUAACAUUUGUCGACAACCCUAGAGAUAGGGCUUUCCCUUCGGGGACGGCAGGAUAGGUGCUGCAUGGCUGUCGUCAGCUCGUGUUGUGAAAUGUUCGGUUAAGUCCGGCAACGAGCGCAACCCCUGUCCUUAGUUACCAUCAUUAAGUUGGGGACUCUAAGGAGACCGCCGUGUCAAAGCGGAGGAAGGCGGGGAUGACGUCAAGUCCUCAUGGCCCUUACGCCUAGGGCUACACACGUACUACAAUGGCAGAGACAAAGCGUCGCGAAGCCGCGAGGUGGAGCUAAUCGCAAAAACACUGUCACAGUCCGGAUUGGAGUCUGCAACUCGACUCCA